ensembl:snRNA U6 U6 spliceosomal RNA
GUGUUCACUUUGGCAGCACAUAUAAAUUGGAACAAUACCAAGAAGAUUAGCAUGGCCCUUGUGCAAGGACAACAUAAAAAUUCAUGAAGCACUCCAUAGUUUU